UACGUAGGGUGCAAGCGUUGUCCAGAAUUAUUGGGCGUAAAGAGCUCGUAGGCGGUUUGUCGCGUCGGCUGUGAAAACUCGGGGCUCAACCCCGAGCCUGCAGUCGAUACGGGCAGACUAGAGUGCUGUAGGGGAGACUGGAAUUCCUGGUGUAGCGGUGAAAUGCGCAGAUAUCAGGAGGAACACCGGUGGCGAAGGCGGGUCUCUGGGCCGAUACUGACGCUGAGGAGCGAAAGCGUGGGGAGCGAACAGG
rnacentral:rRNA from 1 species